rnacentral:rRNA from 1 species
CAGCAGCCGCGGGAAUACGUAGGUGGCAAGCGUUGUCCGGAAUUAUUGGGCGUAAAGCGCGCGCAGGCGGAUAGGUCAGUCUGUCUUAAAAGUUCGGGGCUUAACCCCGUGAUGGGAUGGAAACUGCAAGGCUUGAGUAUCGGAGGGGCAGGCGGAAUUCCUAGUGUAGCGGUGAAAUGCGUAGAUAUUAGGAAGAACACCGGUGGCGAAGGCGGCCUGCUGGACGAAAACUGACGUCGAGGCUCGAAGACGUGGGGAGCAAACAGGAUUAGAUACCCCGGUAGUCCCUGUCUCUUAUACC